rnacentral:lncRNA from 1 species
UCUACCUUUACUAUUUUAUCCCUAUCCCUUCUCCUGUAUCUACCUCCCACUCCCAAAACUUCAGAAUACAUUUCACCCCACUCUUCCUCUCCACUGUACCUUGCCCCGAGUUAUGAUCAUGUCACGCAAAACAUCUUUGUUGGAGAAACCAACUCAAGUGGGAGGCAAGUUCCUCCGUUUUUCUUGAUUUUUCUUUUUUUUUUUGUCAUUACUUAUGGAAAUGAAGAUGCAUUUUUGAGGCAUCUAUUCAAAAUCAAAACACGAUUUUGUUUUGAAUACAUUUUCGUUUUGCAGUUGUGAAGAAGACGAGCGUCUUUGGAUGCCAUAUGAGGGGCGUGAAAGUCUCUUUCUUGUUUUGUUUCCUUAGAUAUGACUCCUCCAAAAGCUUGUACUUGUAGAAAAUAGAGGUGAGAGUUAGGAUUGAAGUUGGUGGAUGAUCUGUAAAACCCAUAACUGGAGCGGGUAAGGGAUGUCAACUUUGGACAUUUUUUGGAUGCAAACUAGUUUAUCUCGGCCUGCAAGUUUGUGCCUUAACCGCUUUAAUGCGGAGACAGUGGACUAUUUGUGAUGUAUUGUAAAUUAAGUAGACUAAUACACUCUAAAAAAUUGAAAGAACUAAUUACAAUAUGAGUGAGAACAAAUAUUAUUAAUAAAAAAUUUAACAUUUUGCAUUUUUAUUGUGUAAUUCAAUGUUCAACGCACUUUUUUAUUUUCUAUUUGGAUAUCAGUUAAAUUUAAAUAUGAUGUUUUGGGACACUUAAAUGUGUUUAGCAAUUAUAAUUUAAUUGAUAUAAACUUUUUACAAUUUGCAG